UGGAGCGAAAGAGCGACUGACGGUGUUCGUCCAUUGGACAGAACGCUGAGGAAACUCCCAACUCCGUGUCGAUGCCAGUCCUGCGAAAGCAGGGAGGUGAGAGCCUCGCUCUGGGAGCAGAAACGACACGUCCAAGCAAGAAACGACCAUGAUGCGGAGCUUCAUUGCUCUGCUGAGGAUCUACUUGGAAACGAUGAAACGGCCCAACACUGGGGAGCAAUCUCAAGAGUGCGCCUGUGACGAGUCGACCUGAGGCGCCGGGUAGAGAGCGAUAGUUCGAUGUCGCGAGGUCAAUCGCUGGUAACAUGAUUGACGGAACAGAAUUGGGGUUACUGCUUCGGACCA
rnacentral:RNase_P_RNA from 1 species